UACGGAGGAUCCGAGCGUUAUCCGGAUUUAUUGGGUUUAAAGGGAGCGUAGGCGGGUUGUUAAGUCAGUUGUGAAAGUUUGCGGCUCAACCGUAAAAUUGCAGUUGAUACUGGCAUCCUUGAGUACAGGAGAGGCAAGCGGAAUUCCUAGUGUAGCGGUGAAAUGCAUAGAUAUUAGGAGGAACACCAGUGGCGAAGGCGGCUUGCUGGACUGAAACUGACGCUGAGGCUCGAAAGCGUGGGGAGCAAACAGG
rnacentral:rRNA from 1 species